AUCGUAAGCCAAUGAGCAUUUGUACUAAAAUUGUAAUGAUAGAAUAUUAACGUAGUCCCUGAACAAAGAUGACAUGAAAAUUUGUGAAGCUUUCCGUAUUUCU
rnacentral:snRNA from 1 species